rnacentral:rRNA from 1 species
UUGAACGCUGGCGGCAGGCCUAACACAUGCAAGUCGAACGGUAACAGGGAUCAGCUUGCUGAUUCGCUGACGAGUGGCGGACGGGUGAGUAAUGUCUGGGAAACUGCCUGAUGGAGGGGGAUAACUACUGGAAACGGUAGCUAAUACCGCAUAACGUCGCAAGACCAAAGAGGGGGACCUUCGGGCCUCUUGCCAUCGGAUGUGCCCAGAUGGGAUUAGCUAGUAGGUGGGGUAACGGCUCACCUAGGCGACGAUCCCUAGCUGGUCUGAGAGGAUGACCAGCCACACUGGAACUGAGACACGGUCCAGACUCCUACGGGAGGCAGCAGUGGGGAAUAUUGCACAAAGGGCGCAAGCCUGAUGCAGCCAUGCCGCGUGUAUGAAGAAGGCCUUCGGGUUGUAAAGUACUUUCAGCGGGGAGGAAGGGAGUAAAGUUAAUACCUUUGCUCAUUGACGUUACCCGCAGAAGAAGCACCGGCUAACUCCGUG